UUCGAGUUUUUGGUUGCUUAAAAUUGGACAUCAAUCGAGGGUAAAGGAAGAGGGGUUGUUGCUGAGGAAUCUUUUGAGGAAAGGAUACGGCCCCGAGCUGAAUCGGACGGUAAUUCGAAGGGAGGAGAGGUUGAAGACGAGCGCGUGAAGGACACGCGAGGCGCGUGGGAGGCCGCGAGUGGAAGUGCGACUGUGCGAGGAUCAGGCGCGUGAGAAAACGAACAUUGACCUUGUGUUGGCGCGUGAGGGCGCGUGCGAAGGUCUAAUAGGAAGGAAUUGUGUUGAAAUACUAUUAAACGUACAUUCAAGGGGAAAAAGGAGUUCGAAACCAAAUGUAGAUGCUGCAGGCCAGCCGAGGACGAGACCAGCG